AGUGAACGCUGGCGGUAGGCCUAACACAUGCAAGUCGAACGGCAGCACAGUAAGAGCUUGCUCUUACGGGUGGCGAGUGGCGGACGGGUGAGGAAUACAUCGGAAUCUACUUUUUCGUGGGGGAUAACGUAGGGAAACUUACGCUAAUACCGCAUACGACCUACGGGUGGAAGCAGGGGAUCUUCGGACCUUGCGCGAUUGAAUGAGCCGAUGUCGGAUUAGCUAGUUGGCGGGGUAAAGGCCCACCAAGGCGACGAUCCGUAGCUGGUCUGAGAGGAUGAUCGGCCACACUGGAACUGAGACACGGUCCAGACUCCUACGGGAGGCAGCAGUGGGGAAUAUUGGACAAAGGGCGCAAGCCUGAUCCAGCCAUACCGCGUGGGUGAAGAAGGCCUUCGGGUUGUAAAGCCCUUUUGUUGGGAAAGAAAAGCAGCAGGUUAAUACCCCGCUGUUCUGACGGUACCCAAAGAAUAAGCACCGGCUAACUUCGUG
rnacentral:rRNA from 1 species